rnacentral:rRNA from 1 species
GACGAACGCUGGCGGCGUGCCUAAUACAUGCAAGUCGAGCGGAACUGGGGGAGCUUGCUCCUUCCAGUUUAGCGGCGGACGGGUGAGCAACACGUGGGCAACCUGCCCCGCAGAUCGGGUUAACUCCGGGACACCGGUGCUAACACCGAAUAGUUUGGCGCCUCUCCUGAGGCGCUACGGAAAGACGGUCUCGGCUGUCACUGCAGGAUGGUCCCGCGGCGCAUUAGCUAGUUGGUGGGGUAACGGCCCACCAAGGCGACGAUGCGUAGCCGACCUGGGAGGGUGACCGGCCACACUGGGACUGAGACACGGCCCAGACUCCUACGGGAGGCAGCAGUAGGGAAUCUUCCGCAAUGGACGCAAGUCUGACGGAGCAACGCCGCGUGAGUGACGAAGGUUUUCGGAUCGUAAAACUCUGUUGUGAGGGAAGAACACGUACCAACUAACGAUUGGUACCUUGACGGUACCUCGCCAGAAAGCCACGGCUAACUACGUGCCAGCCGCCGCAGUAA